AUGAGGCCUCACAUCUGUUUUGCUCUGAGCAAGCUGAGUCGGUUUGUGUCAAAACCGGGAGAUGAUCAUUGGCAUGCGCUUGAGAGAGUUAUGCGCUAUUUGAAAGGCACCGCGAGCUAUGGGAUUCACUACACCGGGUAUGAGAUUAAGGCCACAAGUGGUUAUGUUUUUACACUUGGUGGUGGCGCUGUUUCCUGGAAGUCUUGCAAGCAGACCAUCUUAACGAGGUCAACUAUGGAAGCAGAACUCACAGCAUUAGACACUGCCACUGUUGAAGCAGAGUGGCUUCGUGAACUCUUGAUGGACUUACCUAUGGUUGAAAAACCAAUACCACCUAUCCUGAUGAACUGUGAUAAUCAAACUGUGAUCGUCAAGAUAAACAGUUCUAAGGACAAUAUGAAGUCCUCAAGGCAUGUGAAGAGGAGACUAAAAUCUGUCAGAAAAUUGAGGAACUCCGGAGUUAUUAUGUUGGAUUAUAUCCAAACGUCGAAAAACUUGGCAGAUCCCUUCACAAAGGGUCUAUCACGUAAUGUGAUAGAUAAUGCAUCGAUGGAGAUGGGUUUGAGACCCACC
rnacentral:rRNA from 1 species